rnacentral:rRNA from 1 species
AACGAACGCUGGCUGCAUGCCUAACACAUGCAAGUCGAACGAGAUCUUCGGGUCUAGUGGCGCACGGGUGCGUAACGCGUGGGAAUCUGCCCUUUGGUUCGGAAUAACAGUUGGAAACGACUGCUAAUACCGGAUGAUGACGAAAGUCCAAGGAUUUAUCGCCAGAGGAUGAGCCCGCGUAGGAUUAGCUAGUUGGUGUGGUAAAGGCGCACCAAGGCGACGAUCCUUAGCUGGUCUGAGAGGAUGAUCAGCCACACUGGGACUGAGACACGGACCAGACUCCUACGGGAGGCAUCAGUGGGGAAUAUUGGACAAGGGGAGAAAGCCUGAUCCAGCAAUGCCGCGUGAGUGAUGAAGGCCUUAGUGUUGUAAAGCUCUUUUACCCGGGAUGAUAAUGACAGUACCGGGAGAAUAAGCUCCGGCUAACUCCGUGCCAGCCGCCGCCGUAA